rnacentral:lncRNA from 1 species
AACUUCAAAGACAGGUGCUGAUGACAGUAGUAUUCAACUUUUUGCGACUGGCAAGGAUCAAGAAAAUGGAACAACGAUGAAAUCCGACAUUACUGCCGAAUUAUAUUUCACAGGCGCUAACCAAAAUUUGAUGCCUGCUGACGACUAUGCUGCGGGAUUGGAUUCAAGCGAGAUCAGCUCAUCAGACUUUGGAAUGUUUGACGAAGGUAGAGUUGCACAGUACCCAUCGAGAGGGAGUUCUAUUGCGAUUUCAUCCUCCGACAUUCCCCAAAAUCUGAGCUUGUCAAGCAUAUGCUCUCUUUCCAUCUCUGACAAAGAAGAGCACGAUGAGCUGCAGGUGGAGCUUGCUGCGAUCGAUAUGCAGUAUAAUAUGUAUCUCCAGGAACUGUCCAGGAUGAGGGAGGAAGCCAU